UUGAACGCUGGCGGCAGGCCUAACACAUGCAAGUCGAGCGGAUGAGGAGUGCUUGCACUCCGAUUCAGCGGCGGACGGGUGAGUAAUGCCUAGGAAUCUGCCUGGUAGUGGGGGACAACGUUUCGAAAGGAACGCUAAUACCGCAUACGUCCUACGGGAGAAAGCAGGGGACCUUCGGGCCUUGCGCUAUCAGAUGAGCCUAGGUCGGAUUAGCUAGUUGGUGGGGUAAAGGCUCACCAAGGCGACGAUCCGUAACUGGUCUGAGAGGAUGAUCAGUCACACUGGAACUGAGACACGGUCCAGACUCCUACGGGAGGCAGCAGUGGGGAAUAUUGGACAAUGGGCGAAAGCCUGAUCCAGCCAUGCCGCGUGUGUGAAGAAGGUCUUCGGAUUGUAAAGCACUUUAAGUUGGGAGGAAGGGCAUUAACCUAAUACGUUAGUGUUUUGACGUUACCGACAGAAUAAGCACCGGCUAACUUCGU
rnacentral:rRNA from 1 species